rnacentral:rRNA from 1 species
AUUGAACGCUGGCGGCAGGCCUAACACAUGCAAGUCGAACGAGUGGCGGACGGGUGAGUAAUGUCUGGGAAACUGCCUGAUGGAGGGGGAUAACUACUGGAAACGGUAGCUAAUACCGCAUACUAUCGGAUGUGCCCAGAUGGGAUUAGCUAGUAGGUGGGGUAAAGGCUCACCUAGGCGACGAUCCCUAGCUGGUCUGAGAGGAUGACCAGCCACACUGGGACUGAGACACGGUCCAGACUCCUACGGGAGGCAGCAGUGGGGAAUAUUGCACAAUGGGCGCAAGCCUGAUGCAGCCAUGCCGCGUGUGUGAAGAAGGCCUUAGGGUUGUAAAGUACUUUCAGCGGGGAGGCGUUACCCGCAGAAGAAGCACCGGCUAACUCCGUGCCAGCAGCCGCGGUAAUAC